AACGAACGCUGGCGGCAUGCCUAACACAUGCAAGUCGAACGGAAAGGCCCUGCUUUUGUGGGGUGCUCGAGUGGCGAACGGGUGAGUAACACGUGUGUAACCUGCCCUUGACUUUGGGAUAACUUCAGGAAACUGGGGCUAAUACCGGAUAGGAGCUCCUGCUGCAUGGUGGGGGUUGGAAAGUUUCGGCGGUUGGGGAUGGACUCGCGGCUUAUCAGCUUGUUGGUGGGGUAGUGGCUUACCAAGGCUUUGACGGGUAGCCGGCCUGAGAGGGUGACCGGCCACAUUGGGACUGAGAUACGGCCCAGACUCCUACGGGAGGCAGCAGUGGGGAAUAUUGCACAAUGGGCGGAAGCCUGAUGCAGCAACGCCGCGUGCGGGAUGACGGCCUUCGGGUUGUAAACCGCUUUCGCCUGUGACGAAGCGUGAGUGACGGUAAUGGGUAAAGAAGCACCGGCUAACUACGUG
rnacentral:rRNA from 1 species